GACGAACGCUGGCGGCGUGCUUAACACAUGCAAGUCGAACGGAAAGGCCCUGCUUUUGUGGGGUGCUCGAGUGGCGAACGGGUGAGUAACACGUGAGUAACCUGCCCUUGACUUUGGGAUAACUUCAGGAAACUGGGGCUAAUACCGGAUAGGAGCUCCUGCUGCAUGGUGGGGGUUGGAAAGUUUCGGCGGUUGGGGAUGGACUCGCGGCUUAUCAGCUUGUUGGUGGGGUAGUGGCUUACCAAGGCUUUGACGGGUAGCCGGCCUGAGAGGGUGACCGGCCACAUUGGGACUGAGAUACGGCCCAGACUCCUACGGGAGGCAGCAGUGGGAAAUAUUGCACAAUGGGCGGAAGCCUGAUGCAGCAACGCCGCGUGCGGGAUGACGGCCUGCGGGUUGUAAACCGCUUUCGCCUGUGACGAAGCGUGAGUGACGGUAAUGGGUAAAGAAGCACCGGCUAACUACGUG
rnacentral:rRNA from 1 species